UGUUACUUUGCGUACAUUGCGCUGAGUCGGUUAAUGCAUACUUUUCAGCUGAAUUGAACUGAAUUGAAUAAGUACUUUUUGAAAUCUUAUUUUGCAGACAGGAGUUUUUAGUCUCGAGAUAAACCGGCAGUCAAUUGUUAGCCCUAAGAUAGCAUUGAAAAGGAGAGCUGCACAAGGAGUUGCUUGCGCUCCCCUCACCACUGGUAUAUAAGGAUACUUAGGUCUUCAGAAAAAAACUCACAUCUUCAACAAGAGAAAAGGGGUAAGGCUCAGUGUUACAAUGUCGGCAGUAAAUGCUGCAUUUCUUCUAAUCUUCGCAGUCGCACUCACCAUGAUAAAUAUGUCAAUUUCAAGAUAUGAUAGACCAUAUGGCCUGUGUCGGAGAGUUGGAAAACCUUGCAGGGGACCAUACGAUGCGUAUACUUGUGGACCUGCCUGCGUUUGUGAACAGAUGUACCAGCCAUUCUACGCAUACCGUGGAUACACAUACACCUGGAGUUGCGGGAAUCCGCCUACCUGGGAAUCAUACUACAGAACGUAGGGGCAAUAAUGAGACAAUAAAAAUUGCUGCCCGUCUCAA
rnacentral:lncRNA from 1 species